rnacentral:lncRNA from 1 species
UCUUAAAAGGUAUGGCUAUGUUUCUAAAGUUGUAUUGGUGUACGAACAGAGAGAAAAAAAAUAUGUCAGGUUUAGCAACGAAAUAAAUUUUUAAGCUGUUUUUCUCUCCGUGCACAGUCAGAGCCCAAAAAGUGUGACGUCAUACCGUUUGUUUUGGUAGCGGAACACUGGUGAAUUAGGAGUUUUUUUUUAAUUGCGACGAUUCGAAGGAACCUGUGCCGUCCAAGUGUCCUUCUACCACUGUUUGGCCACUCGGAUGACAAGCUGUAAAAGGAAGAUUCUCAUACAGCUGCGUCAAUAAUUCGUUAACCACUGGGGCCAGGUUGGACAAGCAGAGUUACGGAAGCGGAGUACCAUUUCGCUGGUCAUCCAACUGCUGGCAGAGAGGCAACUGAACCGGGGAGUGGUGGCGGAUGUUUUUGAGCCGGAAGUACGUGAAGCUUGAACCUGCUUACGCCGAGUCUCAGUGGAGAGAACCGCAGCAAAGCGUCGGAAUGUCAGCGUGUUGAAGGCCUUCUGCACCACGCCGUUUACUUUAGCUGCCCAUGCAUUGUUCUUGUCCAUUUGGAGUCCGAGAUAGGUGACCCAUCCGUCAGAUUUUAAGGUUAGAAACGAAGACGUGGAAAUGUCUUUCAGCGCCUUUCUCCAGCAAGUGCAGAAGCUAACGCACGAAUCGCAGGUUUCCGAAGACUUGCCGACGGGCGAGCGUACCCUGGCGUAGGAGCUGCAAUCGCGCGUCUCCCAGACCAGCGUCCAGGACAUGCAGGCUCAUAUCUACUCGGCCACAACCGAACUGAGAAUGCGAUUUUUUCCAUAAUCGAAGAGGUGCACAAUAACUCGUUCUAGGCGGAACAAAACGCCAAGUGGGAGCACAUGAAGAACGACAGGAGCUGGAGCUGGAGAAGUUAAAGCUGAUGAACGCGUAGGGCCGUCUCAAAACUACGGAAGGGACCGGAGCAGACCUGGGAGGUCGUCGUUGAACAACCAGGAAAUGGCCUACGCUCGGGAGGCGUACGAGUACAACAAGUCGAUUGAAGAGAGUGCGAAGCGACCAUCGUUGGUUCAGUGGUUCGCUCAAGUUGCGAACGGACUCAACGACUUCUAGCUCAGUGAUAAAGGUUGCACCCAGACGCAGUUUAUCGAGCAGGCCAAGCGAUACUUGGAGAACCGUUACAAGCUAUUCAUGCAGACGGCCAAUGCGGAACAUCUGCGAGACGCACAUCGCGAUGGAAUUCUCAGCAUCCUGAACCUUUGGAUCGCUCGUCAGACUUAAGUUCGCCUAAUUUAACCAAAACAUGAGCUUUAUCGGCCUGCAGGAUGGUCAAGUAGGCGGGAUACCUCAAGUGCAUGCAAAUGGCCGGACCGGAUCAUGACGUCGCAACCCUGCUCAGAGUAUCAAUCCCAAACUGCAAGUCCGCAUACAUUACAAGCGUCAAAUCCGGAACGCCAUCAAUCCGUACAAGCGUGCCGUCUAAGGCAUUUUCGGUUGCUACGACAUUCAGGAGCAGCACUCGGAGGUCGUCAAAAGCUCCGAUGACUUCCUCUGAAUUCAGCUGUCACGACAAUCCUGGAGCAGUAUGGCGAGCGGCACUUCAACGCUACCGGACAGCUCCAAAU